AUGAUUCAGUUCAAUCACAAUGACUCACUUAUUAACAGUGACUUGCUGCCACCUACUGGCGAUUUUAAUUUCACAUUUAAAGUAUAUUUUUAUUAUUUAAAUAAUUUAAAAUAUCAGUAUUCAACGUUUUUAUGUUUAAUAUAUCAAAACAUUAUUCAUGCAUUUGUAAAAAAAAUAGGCCUUUGUAAAGGUAAAUAAAAAUAUGCAGAUUUGAGUAUGUAAAAGCUGAUAGAACACUGAUGAAAAUAUUGCUUCAGAAUAAUUUUUCUCUCCUGUCUGGAAUGUUUAUCGGACAGAAAUGGCAGAUUCGGUGAUAUGUUUCGGAGGGUCAAUUAACCAGCGUUACUGGUUCAAAGAUAGAGAGGGAAUAACCGAAAACAUGCACCAAUAGUUUAUAUUAACAAAAAAUAAAUAAAAAAAAUACACAUCGUUGAUAGCGCAAGAAACUGGAAAACAUCAUGUCGCGAAACUACAUAACAGCAAAUUAAAAUCACGAGUGAAUGUGUGAACCAUUUCCACCGCACGCUUUCUCUGUUCACUUGAUCAGUCCAUCGCAGUGUGAAAAGCCAUUUAGAUUAAGUUAAGAUGAGAUGCAUUAUGGAGUUUAUGCGUGUUACUGUGAACCUUAUUUUAUUAAACCAUGGUAACCACAGACUAACCAUGAUUUCGCUAUACUAACCAUAUGGUAUUUGUAGUAAAACUGUGUUAUACAAAUGGUAAUCAGUUCGCCAAAAACAACAUGAAAAGCCAAACUUUUAAAAAAUCAUGGCUUCCCUGGCACCAAUAUUUUAAUAAUUCAUAAAAGACUCUUUCUGACCAUCUGAGAUUGCGGUAUGGAGAUACGGGUUAGGAUCAUGACUUUUCUGCAGUAGUAUGAGUACUUUGUGUCAGUAAAGUCUCCAGUUUGUUUAAUAUGUCAACCAGCUUUAACAGCCUAGCCUAUGUGACAAGUAAAUAGGUCAGCAGUCACAGUGUCAUUGUGGUUUGUUUGUUUUUAUAUGUUGCUUGAGGUCCAGUAAUGCUCCUCACCAGCUGAGAAUUAUAUAACAUGAUUUAAUGGUUUUUGCCAGACCAGGGUAUCUGCAGGGUAUUUAAACAAUAUAUUAUUAUCAAUUAUUAUAUCAAUUAAAUAACAUAUAAAUAUGUUAAUGUCUUAAUUGUUUCAAUUUUUCCAAUGCAUUAUUUUCUUGUCAAUCCACCAGCUCACAUUUACAACUCUGCGUGUUUGCUGCGUAAAAACCAUAGACAUAAAAACAUGAGCUGAGUUUCACAUUGGUCUGAACAAAAACAGCAGACGGGCUUAAUAACCUCCUGAAAUCAGAAUUAAGAUUCUUGUACCAUUUAAGACUGCAGGUCUGACCGUAGCAACCGUUAACUGUAGUAGCAAGCCGUGAUGCUGUAGAACUCAAACGGCUCUACUGAGCUGACCUAGAUGUGCGUGAUAUAAAUGAGGUUUUGUUAGAAAAUAGCGCCUGGCAUUUAGUAAAGGCUUUUCGGUCCGGAUUCAUACCGGAGUCUGCCAGUUGGCGACCCCUGUCCUACAGCGUGUCUUGUUAUAUCAUUAAGCCUGUCUAUAAGAGCGUGUCUUGUUAUAUCAUUAAGCCUGUCUAUAAGACUAAAUUUUUAAAUAGUCAUGUGGUACCUGUAAAAUUAUCACCUGGGAUGAUGUGUUAAGCAGGUUUUGGAAUCCUGUUACCGGGAGUUACCUGGCAUCAGUACAAACCCAAACAUCAUCGCUGAUGAAACCAAACUCCACAGCUCAUUUGUCACUCAUUGGUGAAUGUGUUAGGAGGUAGGGAACAAGGGAGCGUUGAUAGCACUCAUAUACCCCGAGCCUGAGUCUGACUGGUUUGUGUUUGAGUACAUUGACCCAUACCCAGUGUGCCUCCAACUCUGCCCAGGUUUCGCUGACACAGGCCUGGUGUUAUGCUUGCGCAGUCAUCGAAAAUAGCUUCCAAUGGAGGCGAGGAACAGCUGCAGAAAAAAACUGCAAUGGUUUUCCCAGAUGAGAGGUGUCCAAUAAACAGCUGGGAUCCUUUACAUUCUGGCAACAUGUAUUAUGUCCACUGUCAUGCUAAAAUACUUGGUCUUACCUCACCAUGGCUCAAUGCAUGUUAACAGCCCAGAGGAGGCCAGUCACAUGGGGCUGCUCCUGGUCCUUUUUCAAAGCCACCUCAGACCUGACUUAAGUGUGAAAGGACCUCAGUGUAAGGCAAAAACUUGGCUGUAGGCCACAGAAGAGCCUGAUUAAUCAGUGAAAGCAUAGUGAGAUGUGGAGCAAGGUGUCUUUUAUCCCCCCAGUGACGCAGAGAGUAACUGGACCCCUGUCAUUUCAUCAGUGCCUGUCAUAGAACACCAACAUUCCCCGGAAAGUUCUUUCCACACUUAUCCCAUCCAAGAGUAGAUUACCAGAGACUAACCCUUUCAAACUAGUCAUGAACCCAUUAUCACAGACAUCCCAAACUCCUUUAUUGGAUCCUUUUGUGUUGAAAGCUCUUAGUCACUCUUGCAGUUCCAAGCGAAUCAAGUGACCGGGCUACAGUUUGCCAUCGUCAAACUCCUGAAACAUCACUGAUGUCAUCUAAUCUCAUGGUAUUUAAUUCACUUCAGUCAGUGUUUGAUUUACCGGACUGUUAGCUCCUUUCUGGAGAUGAUUUGUAUGGAUUUGCAUCUUUCAGAUCGCUUAUAAUUUCACCCUUGCUGCAAGACGGAAGCUUGUCACCCUACUCAUAUUUAAAGACUCAUCAAUAUUAUGGGAGCACAUUACGCAACUAAUCACAGACUAGGUGAGUCAAUUAUAUGAUCCUUCUCUUCCCAGAUGUCUAUUAUCCCAGAAUUACAUUCUUAAACUCAUGCAACAACAUGCAUUGAUAUGCACAGAAUGGAAAAGGAAGAGCCCUGUCCGACUCUCACAGCCUUUCUUCAGAGUCCACAAUUUGUGCAGGGAAUACCGGGCCCACUUGACAUUACAUUGGCUUAGACCCUCAUAAAUUGCUAUUGCAAUCUAUGUGUGUGUGUGUGGGGGGGUGAGUGGUCUGUUGCAAAGCUCACCUUAGUAUCCCCUGUCCCAAAUGGCACACUUCAUGUGCACUUACUGUACAGUCUUGCGGACUUACAAUGGCCGCCGCGUGUGUUAAGUCAACGAAACCGUAGGGUGUCCCAUUCAUCAUUUUAACUUUCUGAAGGGAGCUCGCGAGUGCCCCUUUUGUGGCCACUAUGCCCCCUCAGUGUGUACUUCUGGUGAACUCCGCAGCAGACUUCUGCAUGACAGUCAAAGCAGCAUUACGUCACACUUGGGCACUUGUGAGCAUCCUUCUGAAACCUAAAAUGUUAAAUUGUCAUUGUGGACUUAAUGGACACACGCACACACAGUAGUGAUUAUGAGGGGCCAUUCGCAUGUUUUUGCAUCCCAUGGUGCUACUUUUAUAUUGUUUUUGUUGUUGUUAACAUGUUGCGCUCAUUUUAUGCAUGUCACAGUAUUCUAAAAAUGCAACACUCAUGUUAAGUUGUUGUUCAACUUAAAAAAAAAAGUACUCUAGGCCUUGUUUUUUUUUCCUAUUCCAUUCCCCCGUCUUGCAUUAUUGUGUUUGAAAACGCAAGGCCUAGAGAUGUGCUUUUUAAAUGUUGAACCUUUCUGUUUUGUGUGAAUGGCCAUGAAGUCCACAAGAACGCAAAUUCACAUGACGUGUGCCAUUUGGAACAGGCCCAAUGUUGUUAAAGAGCUUGAUAUCCUUGCUUACCCAGCAUUCUCUCACUCAUCUCUCAUGCUCUUUCCACUCACAAUUUCAUAGUCAGGUUAGCACCAUUUUUAAUUUUUGACAGGAAUGAAAUCGAGGCCGUGAGGGACAUAAGUACAGUGCAUUCAAUGGAUUGUUCUGUUGUUUAGCAAUGUACUGAUUGUUCUGCUGAUUAAAUGUCUGUUUAAAAAUACUGUCAGUAGACAAAAACUCCAUAAGAGUUUUUAAAGUUGUUGAGAGUUGGAGAAAAUUACAUGAAAAUUAUGGUUUAUUGGCUGUUGCGCAUUACUGCACUCUAGUUUAUUGGAGACAGUACACAUAUCCAAUGAAUGGUCGGCUAGAUUUCAAACAAGCAUAAAAUUUAUUGUAGCAUACAUGACCUCUUUGAUCAAUAACUGGCACAUUUUAAGUACGACAAGCUUCUGUCUUCUGGUGUACUCUAGAUGUAAACAAAAAGGACACAGGACAAAAUACACCACACAUCAAAAAGAGUUUAAUGUCUUGAUAUAUUUAUUUUUUUUAAUAAAAAGUUUACACUUUUUAGAGAUUUCGCACUUUAUUUUAAAAGCAUAAAUUAUGGCAAUUAAGUGACAGACAAACCACUAUAGUAUUUUCACAACUAAUAGUUUGUAAUUUGAUACCACGGCUAGCAAACAUCUACUGCUGUCAUGUUCAAGCACUGCUCGCUCACAGAAGUUGUGCACAAUCACCACUUCACAUUAUAUUGUUACCCUUUAUAAUAUCUCAAAUCUAGAUCAUUUUUUUGUUUAUAUAAUUUGUUACAUAAAAGUUGUGAAAUGGAUAACUGAGAAUCCUGCAGACUGCUUUCACUCGCAGUCCGACUCAAGAGAAGUAUUUACAGAAUCAAGGAAGAGCACGCAAGCAAGGAUUUGCCAUGCUCAUAAAGAUUUAAAAAAUAAAAAUAAAGAAAAUGGGCAUUAGCACCCCUAAAGGGAAAAAAAUAAGACACACACACACAAAUCACAUGAGUAUUUUUUUAUAAUAUAGGUAAAUAAUUUGUAUCAGUGUGUUUGAAUGUGUCUACAAAGAUGCAGUUAGCUCUUCUAUGAAAGUACAUUCUACUACAUG
rnacentral:lncRNA from 1 species